UGGGGAAUAUUGCACAAUGGGCGCAAGCCUGAUGCAGCGACGCCGCGUGGGGGAUGACGGCCUUCGGGUUGUAAACUCCUUUCGCUAGGGACGAAGCUUUUUGUGACGGUACCUAGAUAAGAAGCACCGGCUAACUACGUGCCAGCAGCCGCGGUAAUACGUAGGGUGCGAGCGUUGUCCGGAAUUACUGGGCGUAAAGGGCUCGUAGGUGGUUUGUCGCGUGGUCUGUGAAAUUCCGGGGCUUAACUCCGGGCGUGCAGGCGUUACGGGCAUAACUUGAAUACUGUAGGAGUAACUGGAAUUCCUGGUGUAGCGGUGAAAUGCGCAGAUAUCAGGAGGAACACCGAUGGCGAAGGCAGGUUACUGGGCAGUUACUGACGCUGAGGAGCGAAAGCAUGGGUAGCGAACAGG
rnacentral:rRNA from 1 species